AUUAAGAUGGCAGAGUUAGUGUGAAGGACUUAAGAUUCUUUUAGGAAAAUUGUUUUGUAUUUUCUCUUAAUA
rnacentral:tRNA from 1 species